UUUCAAAAUUAAAAUUUUACAUUACAAUACCAAUUUCAAAAAUUAAAUUUAAAUUCAAUAUUUUUUUGAGCUGAAUACUUAACAAAUUAGGUAUCAUCUAAUUUGGUAAGUUAUCAAAAUAAAUAAAAUAUUUAAUAUUUAAAGAAUGCUGACAAAUUUAGUAUAUAGUAAUUUUUUUUUCUAAUAUUGUCAUGUUAACUAAUUCAAAUCGGUAACCUGUUCAACAGGUUACUUCACGUAAAUCCCAACUACACCCUUUACUAAUUAAGAGAUUAAAUUUUAAUAUUUAUGGUGUAUAGAAGCAUUCCUUUAUAUGAGCUAGGCUGGUAUACUAUCGGUAGCACGGAGGCCUCCGUGCUACCAAGUUGUUUUCAAUGAUGCGGCUUCCAAAUUGACGAUCGGCUUCGUUAGACUUGAUAUACACUAUUGAAAGCAUUUGGAAACUAAAUUUUGUAAUUUUUCGAUAUCAUUUGGCUAGUGAUCAAAAGUCUCAAAAUUUAUAAUUUUAAUGGUAAAUUUGAUGCGUUUGUGAAUUCAAUGGUGUAAAACAAUCCAAAUUUGAUGAAAUUUUUAUAGAAAAUUCUUUUCAGUAUUUAGAAUAAGAUCAGUAUCUUUAAUUUUAAAUUCAAGUCUUUUAUAAUCAUUUUUUAUGAGAUUUUCAUUUUCAGCCGUUUAUUUUUAGACUACUCGUUUGAUUGGUAAAUGACGCCGAAAAAUUAUGAAAUUUAGUUUUCAAAUACUUUCAAUAGUGUAGAUUAAGUCUAACGGAACCGAUCGUCGAUUUAUAAGCCGCAUCAUUGAAAACAACUGGGUAGCACGGAGACAUCCGUACUACCGAUAGUAUACCUGCCUAGCUCUAUAUAUAUAUAUAUAUAUAGAUGGUAGCUAAUAACAUAAUCAUAAAAGGACCAUCGGAUAAAAUCAACCAAAUAGUAUAUUCUAAGAUGAUGCACAGUUGAAUCCAUGAGAAUUGACACUCGAUAUAAUUGAAAUAAUUCCCAUGUACGUUUACUUUGUGUGCAUAAUAGUCGAGUAACACAUUAUUCUUGUCAAAUAAUUGUUUGCUUUAUUACAAUGCAUAUGAAGAGUUUGUAGAUGACAAUGAACAAAAUAUAUAUAUGAAAAUAUAGUAUUGUUGUUCUCCUCCUAAAAGCUCUGCUUCGGGUUCUACCUGCGCGAAUGCCAAAAAAGUUUGAAUCGAUUCAAGCAUCAAAAAUGAUAGUAUUUGAUAAAUAAUAAUAAUAAUAAUAAUAAAAAUAAAAAAUACGGUUAGUAUACCUCGAUAUAUCGAUUCUAUUCAUCAUCUUUAGCAUUUACUACAAGACGUCGAUAAUCCCACCUAUGUAUUGGCUGUUGCUCCAUGUCAUUCACCAUUUCAUAUUCAGCCGUAAUCUUCGACUUCAUAAUUCGAUGUUGUUGUCUUGCUGAAUCUAGCCAAUAUGUUACGCAAAGCAUCCAUUUUAAAACCUUGUCCGGAGAGUCUCUCCCGCCAUCAUGCACAUGUUUUACCAUCAAAUCAAGCAGCGUUUUGGGGUAGUUCUUNAUUGCAUGCACAAUGAUCUCCAUCUCAUUGGCAAAGUCAAGUUCCACAAUGGAGUCCAGCAGCUCUACACAAUCCCUCUCCACCAGCUCUAUAUGGACACAUUGUGUUCUUCAGAUAAUCACAUUCAAUUUAGAACAUCUAAUGACUCAACUGUGAAAUUAUUGCAGAAGCAUGAAUUAUAAGCUUACACUACAAUCUAAUAGUAGAUGCUAAUACAACACAAAUUUAAACAGAUAAGAAGUUGCAAGUGAAAAAUACAGCAUAACAAUGUUUGUCUCAGUCACGAGACAAGAUUAUUGUGAAAUUGUUGAGAUCUCCUAGGUAGAGAAUGAAGAGAUUACAACACUGUUUUUAUUUCAAGAGAGUCACUCAUUGGAAAUCACGACAUUUUAUUUUUUUUUCUCGACAAACACAAUUUCAUAUAAAUUAAUAUGCGGUACUGCUCUCCUUCGAUAGGGCUUCGCACUGGGAUUUCCCUGUGAAAAAGGAGAAAGGUUUGAAUAAAUUGGAACUAAGUACUAAACACUUCGAAAAGCAAUGUGGUAGUAUAUAUACCUCAAUAUAUUUAUUCCAUUUAGCAUCUGUGGCAAUUACUACUUGACGUUGAUGAUCCCAGCUAAACUCUGGAUGAUGCUUGAUGUUGUGCACUAUUCCAUAUUCACGUUCAUAAUAACUGAAGCGAUCAUGUAAAUGUUUGUCUUCAUAUUUCAUGCCUGUUGCUUCAUUGAACUUGGCUACUACAUCACGCCAGGAAUUAUUUUUAAAGUCUAGUAUUUUUCUCCCUCUUGAUUGAAUUUGCUUUACCAAUAAAUCAAGCAGUACUUGAUCAUGCGCUUUUUCCCAUAUUGCUGAAGGCCGACCCGUUAUUUUAAUCUUUUUUCUUCCCAAAAUUUCUUUUGGCCACUGUCUCCUGUAAGUACAAACUAGUAAAUAAAAGGGAUACCACAAUGUAUAAUUUUAAGAAUUUUACUGCCCAUGAAAAAAAAAAACAUUCUAAUCCUAAGGGGAAAAAAAAAUUAUAACCAUUAUCACUGUAUAUCAUAUAACUAUUCAUAUAGCUUUAACUAAUAAUUUUUUUUUUUUUUUUUUUUUUUGACUUUUCAAAUUACGCACGUACCAUGAUAUAUUGACAAGGAUCAGACUAAAACGGAAUGAGCUAUUCCUAUUUUACUUUUGUGGUGUAAUUAAUCAUGACCGUUGAUUCAAGGAACUCACUUCAUUAAUUGGACUUGUAUUGGAAUCGCUUCAUUUAAUAAAAUCCACCCAAAACCAGAGAAAUCAAUUCAAAUCAUGGCCUAGUUAAGAUUCCAAAAAAAAAAAGAAAAAAAGAGAAAAAAAAUCAAUAAAAAAUGAAUUGUAAUUCAAGAAUUAAUAUAGAUACUCUACGUAGAAAAUUAACAGUGGGAAUUUACACAAAGCAACCUAUAUUCCCGCUAUUAACACAUCCAAUUAGAAAUGAAAGAAAAAAAAUUCAAAGGACUGAGAAAAAACAAGCUACUUACUCAUCACUGUCGCUACGGGCUCCCCCUUGUAUGCACUCAAGUUGAAGGAUGGACCCAUUCUGGAUUCCGUAGUGGGCCAAUGAUCUCUCUAUCUCCAUCAGUGGACUGCCAUUGAAAUCAAGAUCAAUAUCCCACAAUCCCGACUGUAGCACCUCAUGAGGAACAAGAGUGAUUAACACAUCCUCGAUGGUGUGGGAUUUUUCCACCUCAAGCACAAAAUUUCCGUAAUUUUCUGACCGCACAAAGAUUUUCAUUUCACCACCGCCGUUGGGUCUCCUGGAAGGGCCGGGGAUUGCAUUUCCCGUCUUGGCUAUUACUUUAGAACUAGCAAAGUUGCACAUGUAAUGGACGUUAGCUUAUUUAAUUGUGGUAUGUAAAUUCAAAUUUAAUAUUUAAUUUGAUAUAUUUGAAUCUAAUCGUUAAUUGCAGUUGAAACUGCAUGAAGAAACCCAACUGUACGUAAUAGUUGAAAGUAUCUCCAAAUUGGCUAUCGUACCAACUGUACCAAUUGUAACAAUUGCAGAUAUUAACCUUUCGCAAGAGGUAAGUUUACCAGAUCUCUAAUCAGUUUUUUAACAGAAAAAUAUUUUUGUUUUCUACAUCUGAGAUAAUUUUACCACUAUAUAAUAAUAAUAAUAAUAAUAAUAAUAAUAAUAAUAAUUUAGAAAAAUAUUUUUCAACUAUAUGCAAGCAAAUAAAUUAUUUAUAACUAUAGCAUUUUCUACUGCAUUAAAUCAAAUACGAUGCGUAUAGUUAUAAUUGCUGCAUUUGAACUGCAUGCGUCCAUCUUUAGCUAUGCUGCAUCUCAUUCAACCAAACAAAAAACACAUUUAAAAGUUACAUGUCACCUUAUUUGAUUCCAAUAUGUAUGUGGUAGGAAACGAAAUGACACUAGAGAUCUGCUAGGAUUCGAUCUCCUAUUCUAACAAUGUGAUUAAUAGUAUAAAGUAAUAAUUUAUAUCUAAGAACUUAAACUGCUAUAUUCAACAAGGAUAAGCACUAGUGAUUUGAGAAAAACAUCGUACCUCAUAACUAAGGAAGAAAGAGAGAGAGAGAGAAACUACUUGGACCUUGUUUCAACUUUGGAAGAUUGGGUGGCUUAAAUAGAAGAAACUAAAACUUUUACCUGUAUAUAUAAAACCUUCCCUAGUUUCCAUUUUACCCCAGUUCUCACCCCCACCCAAAAAAUUCAGAAGGUAACUAAGAGACAAGCGUCAAUUUGCAGUCAAGUUGAAGGUUUCAAAUUUUUUUAUCCUCCAACGACGUGGUGGAAAAUUUUUAAUGAUAUAUGGCGUACGUAGACUAUUGACGACUAGUCACGAAAUUAAUGCAUACUUUAUUUAAAUUGGCGUAGAAAAUGUGUUAAAUUCUUGACUAGAAAAAGAACUACACUGGGACAGCAUCCAAUGUUAAGUAAUGUGAAAUAAUUAAAAAAAAUUUUUAAUUAAAGAGCCAAAGCUGUCGCAGGCCCAAUGCUAUUAGGAUCAUACCCUCGAAUAUUCCAAGGCGUAAUUAGGUUCCUUAAUCUCUUUUGCUUGAAAACUUAAUUGAAGUAAUAAUUAGAAGUUUAGGGACUCAAUUAAAACUCCGAUGAAAACAAAUCAAAUAUCUAGUUGCAAACAAGUGAAACCAUAUUUAAUGUCGAAUAAUGUGAAAAAAAUAUUUUUCUCCAAAAGCGCAAGUUACUAAGAACGAUGUUACUCGUGAAAGGUCAAAUAUCCAAUUGCGAGCCAAUUGCAAUAAUUAGAUGGCUAGCGACGCACCGGAAAAAUAUUAGAGAUCUCCUACGUAAUUUACCUUCAUGUUUAAUCUCCCUCCAGGGAAUUCAUAUACCUGUGCAUAAAAUCCUGCAAAUCAACUAUUCUAUGCGUAGCCUUAUCAUACUGCUGUUGGAAUAAUUAAUGACCACUUUUGGUCUUCUUUAUUUAAUCUGCUUAUUCCAUGAAUGAUAACAUCUCCUAGUCAGCGGUCUUAUCCACAAAGGUCUCAGGGUGUAGCAGUGGAAAGUCAUCUUUGGGCACUAAGGUCUCAAUAAUCAAUGCAGAGACAAAUUUAUCCAGUACAAUGCUCGAAUAGUUUAACACGAAUGAAAAAAAUAAUUUUAAUUAUAAUAAAUGAGACCUACCUAUUAGUAAUAAUAAUUAGACUUAAACAUUUUGCACCGAUAGUUUGGGCCCAAUGAAUUAUUAUUACUAACGGUUCGGAUCAUUUUGAAUCCGUAUGAGUCACCUCUAGAAUCUCAUAUAAAUCUAACGUCAUCUGAUAAUUCUAUUCUAUUUUGUAUCUAUUUUAUUUUGUUUCGAACCGAUAAUUUGAGCCGAAUAAAGUAUUAUUGGUAACGAUUCGGAUCGUUGUGUGUCCAUUCUCCCACUGGGUAUCUCCUGCUGCUGGCUUCCCAAAUUGAGUGGGAUGCGCGGCUGCAUGUGCAACUGAAACCAUGCACCUCUCCUGCCCUUACUUCCCUAUGCCAAAUCCGCCGUCCAUUCGACGGAUAUAUUUGGCCAUAUCCGAACGCUUCUUCGGUGAGCGCGCUCCCGUACGAGUUCGGCACCGCCCCCAUAAAAAAACUACCAUUUGGUGUGAGAAUCUUUGGAAAUACUCGCCGGGUGUAUAGUACAGUAUAUGUAUUUCGAACACCCUACCUAAUUCAUAAAUUUUGAUAUCAAAUAAUCAUGAAUUGAGAUUGGCAAAUUAUAUCUUCAAUAGUUAUAACAUCAAGUUCACAUUCACAUACACAAACAUCAAGUAGGAAAAUUGAAAUAUUAACACGUUAUAUUAUUGUAGAAGAUAACUAUUGCAAGGAGAAGGGACAUUCAAACCUGCCUCACAGUGGUGAAAAAAAUAGUGAGUCAAGUAUUACAAUCCACAACAACUAAGAGAGAGAGAGAGAGAGAGAGAGAGAGAGAGAGAGAGAGAGAGAGAGAUACGGUACAGAAAAAAUAGUGAGAAGAGGGAGUAUAUUAGAGAGGAUGUAGUGAAAAAGAAGAAGCAGAAUAGUCAUGAUGUUUCAAUAAUUUCACAUUGGAUUAAAAAAAAAAUUGCAUACAAAUCUCACAUUAUGUGUAAUUUAAUAAUUGCUCCGACAAGAACGUAGUUUAGGGGACCGGGAGGUCCCUGCCCUCCUCCUCCAUCACCCUUAUCUCUCUCUCCUGCCCAUCCCCACUGUUCCCCCCAUUUUUUUAACUUCCAGUCCACAGUCUUAUCUCUCUCCUACCCAUCCCCACGGUUUCCCCCUUUUUUUUAACUUUCAGCCCACAGUAUGUUAGGAUAAACUCAUAUUCAACUUUUGUAAAUAUAGAUGUCAAAAUUUAGCAUCUAAUAUAUAUAUAUGUAUAUAUAUAUGAGUAAUACUUCAAUACAUCAUAUAGAUGUUGACCAUUUAGUUUUCUUAAUAGAUGGUUUAGAUUUAAUGUGAUUCUAGAGGUGACUUGCUAUUGAAGUAUAGGUACCAUUCACAAGGUACCUAUUUAAAGAGUAUUUUAGUCUUUGUAAAAUAAUUUGGUCUACAAAACCAGUUUUAUUUAACUAAAAAUAUUGUGACCCUCUUAAAUACCUACAACAAUAGUUGAAUUUCAAAUUACAACAAAACUGUAAAUUUAAAUUCAAAACAACAUUUUAAACUUUAUAAAUUAAAUUUAAUUUUUUUAAAUAUAAAACACAGAUUUAAAAUAAAAAUUUUAGUUCCAAUUCAAAAUUUCAAUUUAAAUCAAAAAUUAAAAUUUGGCUUCAAGAUUAAAAGUUCAAUUUAGAUUCAAAUUUAAAAGUUUAGUAUAAAUUUCAAAAUUAAAAUUUUACAUUACAAUACCAAUUUCAAAAAUUAAAUUUAAAUUCAAUAUUUUUUUGAGCUGAAUACUUAACAAAUUAGGUAUCAUCUAAUUUGGUAAGUUAUCAAAAUAAAUAAGAUAUUUAAUAUUUAAAGAAUGCUGACAAAUUUAGUAUAUACUAUUUUUUUUUUCUAAUAUUGUCAUAUUAACUAAUUCAAAUCGGUAACCUGUUCAACUGGUUACUUCAUGUAAAUCCCAACUACACCCUUUACUAAUUAAGAGAUUAAAUUUUAAUAUUUAUGGUGUAUAGAAGCAUUCCUUUAUACACUACAAGAAGUUUAACUUUUAGCAAAAUUUAACUAGUAACAUUUCACUAAGUGACAAAAAUUAUAAUAUUUAGCAAUAUUUAUUUAUUAGUGUUGCUAAAUGUACUUAUUUACCAAUAUUUAGGUGUAAAUGUUGCUAUAUAUAAAUAACACCAACACUAAGAAUUAAAUGUUACAAUGUUUAGCAACACUUUUUUUGAUAAAUGACAAUUAGUUUUUCAAAUUUUGAAAAGCCCUUCAAAAUUUUAAAAUUUCAUCUUUCCCUCCUUUAGUGAUAUUUUUUUCCAUCUCUCUUUCAUUUCUUUGUCUCUUCACUUUAAACUCUCAA
rnacentral:lncRNA from 1 species